rnacentral:misc_RNA from 1 species
UCCGGUUUGUCACCGGCAGUCUCAUUAGAGUGCCCUUGCGUAGCAACUAAUGAUAAGGGUUGCGCUCGUUGCGGGACUUAACCCAACAUCUCACGACACGAGCUGACGACAGCCAUGCAGCACCUGUGUCCACUUUCCCUUUCGGGCACCUAAUGCAUCUCUGCUUCGUUAGUGGCAUGUCAAGGGUAGGUAAGGUGGGGAUGACGUGUCCUUGAUAGG